rnacentral:rRNA from 1 species
UACGUAGGUGGCAAGCGUUGUCCGGAUUUACUGGGCGUAAAGAGCGCGCAGGCGGUCAGGUAAGUCGAAUGUGAAAGCCCCUGGCUCAACCAGGGAGGGUCAUUCGAUACUGCUCGACUCGAAGGCAGGAGAGGGAAGUGGAAUUCCGGGUGUAGUGGUGAAAUGCGUAGAUAUCCGGAGGAACACCAGUGGCGAAGGCGACUUUCUGGCCUGUUCUUGACGCUGAGGCGCGAAAGCUAGGGGAGCAAACGGG